UCGGGGCAAGAGCCAGGCCUCG
rnacentral:siRNA from 1 species